AACGCCUCACGACCACAAGAGAGCACUUCCUGUAGUAUGAACCGGCACAUCGAUCGUACGACUUUGGAAAUCGUGUAGUAAGGACGCAGGUACUUUUCCUCAGAGCUCCCGAGGAAAGUUAUCAACUGCACCAUGGAGAAGACGGAGGAGAAGAAAGAAGCUCUACGAGACAACCGUCUGCACGAAGCUCGCCUUGCCUUGUUUUUGAGUCUCACUGUUAUCUGAUCAUUUGGGGCUGUCUGUGAUCAGAGACAUCACAUGUGAUGACGGAACAAGACUGUGUGACUGUACAAGACCGGGGAAGUUGUGGGGCUCAUUGAUCCCUUUGACUCUUAAACUAAAAUACAAGUGACAAUAAAUCAAGAUAAGAUACAGUUAAGAAGCACCAGGACCAGGUUGUAAUAACGUGUUUGAGCUUUAAAUGUGUCAGCUUCCAAACUCCCGGCCGCUCCCUUCUCUCCUUGGUGCUUUCAUCCUCUCCUCUUUGCCGAUCCCAAAUUUAUUGCUUUAUGGCUGAGAUCACAUUUGUCCAAGUUCUUUGAGAGCACCUGGCCACACAACAGCAAGAGCCAACGCUUUAUCUGUGAUCAGUGGCAAUUUGAAGCUGCAUUAUCCUGCUCAUUAUGAAGCCCCUUAUCAAACAUAUUAAUCAUUUCACACAUGAUAUUGAUUUUAACGAUUUUAUUACAAGCUGAAGUAAAUUACGAGCUUCUGGGGGAAAAGGGAGUUUCACAGAACUGAAACCACAGAAACACCAGAUAAUACCAUUCAUAAUAAUAAUAAAAAAAAUCUUUCUCCAGAGUGACUGUAAAAGCCAUUUCUGAAUCACUCAAAUUGAUAUUUAAAUAUCUCAUUAAGGCAAGCAUGUCAGUAUUAACUUCUCAGAUCACUGUCACAGAUGUGGAGUGAGGACACCAGCACAGAGGCAGACAUCACACGAGGCAGAUGGAUGUUUUAAGCCACAGGCGUCACAUGACCCAGGCACAAGACUGAGCUUUAAACAACACGCUCUAUUGCUCAAGUCGCAGGUUAAACUAUACUUGAGCUCUGUGCAGGCCUAUACAUUCAACAAAAUAACGCAAGUGUACCUUAACGGUGAUUCUUUGACCAUGUAAAGAUACAAACAAAAAAACAAAAGGCUGCUGUAGAUCACGGCGGUCAGAUUCAGAGCAGAGAUCCAAACACAAAGGAAAAGCCUUCUGCUUUGUAACCAACCAGUUCUCCUGCAGUGGGAAGUGGGCUGUGUUAGAGAGCAUUGUACUGUAAUCAUGUUGCUUUCCAUGAUAACGCAUCACGAUGUCAUGAAUGUCAGAGGAACAGGCCCAGUCUCACUGUAAAACAGGCUUCUAACAAACAGCAGAUAGUUGACCGCAGCCCGCUGAAACUGCGACCCAACUUUUCUCUGCAGCGCUCCGUCCGCUGCGGCUGUUGCCUUGCAGCCGUGUUCCGCUGCUGUGCAGCAUGAGGUGGCUUUUUUUUUUGUUGGGAAAAGCAGAUCUUUUGCGAAGACAGUCGAUGACUGUGUUAUGCCCACUUGGCCCCGACGAUAGACUGUAAUAAAGGGAGACGUAAUAAGGCCACAGCGUUUUGAUCAAAAAGAGGCCUUUUUUGAAGUGAAUUGUGUUUCUGUUCGUUAGGGAUUGUCACAGUCGCACAAGGUUUUUUCGUUUUUUUUCUGGGGUUUUGCGAUACAUAGCCUUUGUAGUCUUAUUUCGCCUCCUGGGGCCAAACUUCAACCGAGGCUGUUCCUGUAUUACCUGGCUUCAUUAAGGCCAAGCGUGUGAUCCCAACGCUGGUCGACAGCUUCUUUCUUUGUCUUUCACUUUUGAAUGAAGCGCGAUAAACUAUUGAUCCUCUCGAUUCAGUCACGGUCCGGCCGCUAAAGAAAUGAGAAACUUGGGCCGCAGAUGAACACACUCAUAAUGGUUAUGAGUAGAAAAAGAAUAUUGCUACAGAGGCCGUGAAUGACCGAAGAACUCAGCCGCAGAUAAGAGUAAAUAUGUGGCCUACUUGGCGGCUUGAUGUGUUGAGCAAUGCUGGAUAAUUUAUACCACAUUUUCACAUUUCGUGUUUCCUCUAAUCCGAGCGUCAGAAGUGUUGAGAAUGUCUGUGUGGGUUAACACGUUCAAAAAAGGCAUUUACUGACUAAAACCAAAGGGGACUGGCUAAGACACAGGCGUAUAUUAUAAAGAUUAGUGGAUGGAUGGAUGUUGCCCAGGUACUGUUUUUCUUCUUCUUUCCUUUGGAAGGCGUGCUCCCCUUUAGAAGACAAUACUGUAUCACACAGUCAGUUAUCACAACGACACAUUUUCCAGCUCUAAAUACUCACAAUUCCUUUACUUCCUCUGAGGUGAUUCUUUAUUGACAGACAGUUGUGGUCAUCAGGAUGUCAGUUGUCCUCUUCACUGUUCUGCUGACUCUCUCGUCCUGCUGCCCUGUCUUGUUUACUGUAUUCAUAUAAAUUUUUUUCGUGCAUAUCCUGCUUGAAGUUUUUCCGUAAUCUUGACUGUACAGUUUUUGACAGACCUGAGCUUUGUUUGUUCCUUGUUUUUUUCUUUCUUUCCUUCUCUUCUGUUCUGUGGAGCUUCAUGACUAGAGUCCUUAUUACUUUCAAAAUGUCAUUUUAACGUCGUUCUUAACAUCUGACCAGCGACAACUGAAAACGUGUGGCAUUUAGAUGUCAGGUAACUCCUGCUCAUUUACAUUUUUAUUUUUCAUUAUUGGCCACUGUCUCCAAUAAACAAGCUGAAAAAUUUCUAAUAAAUCACAUCCAAAUACCAAA